UGGAGGAGAGUUACUCGUGCUACAACUACAAAGUAGCAGGAGGUGCUAUCAUCAGACACCCAACUCUCACCACCUGUUGGAGAUCUAAAGGCACAGUUAUCACCUGCAACAUGCCGGCCAGUACAGCACAUUACAAAAGUGUAAGUGGUUGUGGACCAUGUGGGGAGACAGCAAAAGAACGGGGGACAUGUGUAGAAUGUUAUUCAGACUCUUGCAAUCAGAUCGUAAGAGAGAGUGAUCGUGCCCAUCUCCACCACCGAACAAGAAGAUCAGUCUCCGCUGAAUGUGUCUCCCAGUGUCCUUACAGCUAAUUGGUCACUAAUUGGUCACUAAGUUUCCCUACAGUUAAAGUUACUUUCCUCUACUACAUAUCUAAACUAUUAGUUGUGCGACUUUUCCAUGUUAUCUGCUAUGCAGCUUAUACUGAGCAACCAAAUUCAGAAAAUGUCUUAAUAAUGAAAAACCAAUACAAAGAAACCUUAUGCAUUCGCACAUCGUGAUAAUGAUUAAUAUUAUAUUUAUAUC